rnacentral:rRNA from 1 species
CCUACGGUGGGCAGCAGUGGGGGAUAUUGCACAAUGGGGGGAACCCUGAUGCAGCGACGCCGCGUGGGUGAAGAAGCGCCUCGGCGCGUAAAGCCCUGUCAGCAGGGAGGAAAAUGACGGUACCUGAAGAAGAAGCCCCGGCUAACUACGUGCCAGCAGCCGCGGUAAUACGUAGGGGGCAAGCGUUAUCCGGAUUUACUGGGUGGAAAGGGGGCGCAGACGGCGAUGCAAGCCAGGAGUGAAAGCCCGGGGCCCAACCCCGGGACUGCUUUUGGAACUGCGUGGCGGGAGUGCAGGAGGGGCAGGCGGAAUUCCUGGUGGAGCAGGGAAAGGCGUAGAUAUCAGGAGGAACACCGGUGGCGAAGGCGGCCUGCUGGACUGCAACUGACGUUGAGGCCCGAAAGCGUGGGGAGCAAACAGGAUUAGAUAGCCGAGUAGUC